GGAUAUAUUCGUGAACCUAGAUUUGUUUGUGAGCUGAAUCACAUGUUUUCUCAUAGGUAACUUGUCCAAUUUGACACAGUUUCUGCUUAGACCAACAACAGCCAAUCUCGUAGUCCUAAAUUAUCAAGUUAUGUGAAUGGAAUUGUACUUUGCUCGUGAACAAGAACUUGAAACGGCAAACAAGAAGAACAAUGCACCCCCAACUUCAACCAACAAUAUCACAUGUACACUCAAAUUUCUUUAUAACAACAUCAUUUGUUCUGAUACAGUUUAUUGUUAUUAUAGAGGAUAUAUAUACUAUAGCAUAACUUAAAAUCAGUUCCGAAAAAAAUUUAAUUUUUAUAAUGAAUGAUUAUUAUAUAAGAAUGUUGUUAUAAAGAGUGUGACUUUAUAUGCAGAUUGCAAUGCAGUGCUCGACUACAGUGCCAACCAACAGUAUGUCUUGCAGU
rnacentral:lncRNA from 1 species